rnacentral:rRNA from 1 species
UACGGAGGGUGCAAGCGUUAUCCGGAUUCACUGGGUUUAAAGGGUGCGUAGGCGGGCAGGUAAGUCAGUGGUGAAAUCUCCGGGCUUAACCCGGAACUGCCGUGAUACUAUCUGUCUUGAAUAUCGUGGAGGUAAGCGGAAUAUGUCAUGUAGCGGUGAAAUGCUUAGAUAUGACAUAGAACACCCAUUGCGAAGGCAGCUUACUACACGAUCAUUGACGCUGAGGCACGAAAGCGUGGGGAGCAAACAGG